AGCAGCCGCGGUAAUUCCAGCUCCAAUAGCGUAUAUUAAAGUUGUUGCAGUUAAAAAGCUCGUAGUUGAAUUUCGGGGUUAGCAGGUCGGUCGUGCCAUCGGUAUGAACUGGUCUCGCUGAUCCCUCCCUCUUGACGAACUGUGAUGCCAUUAAUUUGGUGUCGCAGGGAAUCAGGACUGUUACUUUGAAAAAAUUAGAGUGUUUAAAGCAGGCUCACGCUUGAAUACAUUAGCAUGGAAUAAUGAAAUAGGACGUUUGAUCCUAUUUUGUUGGCUUCUAGGAUUGACGUAAUGAUUAAUAGGGAUAGUUGGGGGCAUUAGUAUUCAAUUGUCAGAGGUGAAAUUCUUGGAUUUAUUGAAGACUAACUACUGCGAAAGCAUUUUGCCAAGGAUGUUUUCAUUAAUCAAGAACGAAAGUUAGGGGAUCGAAGACGAUCAGAUACCGUCGUAGUCUUAACCAUAAACUAUGCCGACUAGGGAUCGGAUGAUGUUAAUUUUUUUCAAUGACUCAUUCGGCGCC
rnacentral:misc_RNA from 1 species